GGAGACAGAGCAGCAGAGGGGAGCUGAGUGACACUAGGUGAGAAGCUGUGCGGCCAGAUGACUUGAGCCUGGUUGCUAUGACAGCCAGGAAUUUGCGAACCAAACCAGACCUGGAGAAGAAGUCUCUCCUUGGCCCAAAGAGUUUGCAGUUCCAAGUGGUUCUGCUCAUGGUUCCUGUUGUCUUCUUUGACACCUGCCAGAUGGAAGAACCUCUAAACCUGGGAUUUGGAAAUGUCCCAACAGAAAGGCUAUUUCCAAGCUGGCUGAAGCUUGGAAAUAAAUUCGACGGAAUUUAGGUGUGAUAGAAGGAACUUCUUGGCAAGAAAAGCUGGAAAAUAUUACAAUAGGUCCCAGAGAGAACCUCAUUAUCUUCUCGAAAAAAUUUCUAUAUUUGUUUAGUGUUCUGUGGUUUGCUAAGC
rnacentral:lncRNA from 10 species